CCUUGGAUAGCAUCACCUUUAUGGAUAAUAAUCUUGACACACCGACGGUCAACUACGUCGCAGACACCAAGUACCGUGCCCUGGAGCACUUGGGUGGGAGGAGCAAGCUCAGCUCUGGUUUGAAAUGAGAGAUGACCAAUCAUUGACAGUUGACGUUCAUGACCUAUUGUAUGUUAUUAUGCGCCCAAGUGUGUUUGCUUAUUGGCCGGCCGCCUGGAUGAUGACUAGACCCUUCCCAGACGAAGCGUAAUCAGACCAUUCAUGUAACAAAGAAAAAGACCAAGAAGAAAGGGAAGAAAGUGGUGGUGCGCCCUUCCUGACCUCAUCCUUGGUCUCAUGAGACAGGAGGCCUUACCAGAGGCUGACUUUGUCCUUGGCCUCCGAGUCUGGCGGCAUGUUGCUCAUCCUGUUCAUGGUCUCCAUCAGCUCUCUCAGGU